AAGAGUGAUUUGGAGCCGCCUGCAUUGCAGGUGCGCGCCGGUUACCCGUCCUAAUGUCAUAAGCACGGACUCGCAGCCUUGCCGAUGGUCAGCCGUGAGGCCGACUUGGCAGGUUGUGGGGACGAAGAGGAUAUUUCCGUCGAGGUGGCGCGUGCCACCCUGGAGCCGGGUAACACUGGAUCCAGGGUUUGCGCGCCCGCGGCGGGCAUACAAACCUUUUUCUACUCUUUGGAGAAUUCUGAAGUCUGAGGUAGCGAAGAAAUUCGAAACGAAGCA
rnacentral:misc_RNA from 1 species